rnacentral:tRNA from 1 species
AGUUAUUUAUCCAUAGAUGGUGUUAUGCUUUGAAAGCAUAUAAAAGAGGUUAAAUUCCUCUACUAWCUU